rnacentral:rRNA from 1 species
CACGGUGAGUAACACGUAUCCAACCUGCCGUCUACUCUUGGCCAGCCUUCUGAAAGGAAGAUUAAUCCAGGAUGGCAUCAUGAGUUCACAUGUCCGCAUGAUUAAAGGUAUUUUCCGGUAGACGAUGGGGAUGCGUUCCAUUAGAUAGUAGGCGGGGUAACGGCCCACCUAGUCAACGAUGGAUAGGGGUUCUGAGAGGAAGGUCCCCCACAUUGGAACUGAGACACGGUCCAA